GACGAACGCUGGCGGCGUGCCUAAUGCAUGCAAGUCGCACGCAGAGCGCUUGCGCUCUGAGUGGCGCACGGCUGAGUAGCACGUGGGAACGUACCCUCCGGUGGGGGAUAACGCCGCGAAAGCGACGCUAAUCCCGCAUAGCUUCUUCGGAAGAAAGCGAGCAAUCGCGCCGGUGGCGCGGCCCGCGGCCCAUCAGGUCGUUGGUGAGGUAACGGCUCACCACGCCGCUGACGGGUAGCUGGUCUGUGAGGCCAACCAGCCAGACUGGGACUGAGAAACGGCCCAGACUCCUACGGGAGGCAGCAGCAAGGAAUUUUCGGCAAUGGGCGCAAGCCUGACCGAGCAACGCCGCGUGGUGGAAGACGGCCUUUGGGUUGUAAACACCUUUUGGGGGGGAAGAGAUGGACGGUACCCCCCGAAUAAGGCUCGGCUAACUCUGUGCCAGCCGCCGCAGUAAAAC
rnacentral:rRNA from 1 species